rnacentral:rRNA from 1 species
UACGUAGGGGGCUAGCGUUGUCCGGAAUCAUUGGGCGUAAAGCGCGUGCAGGCGGUCCGGUAAGUCCGCUGUGAAAGUCGGGGGCUCAACCCUCGGAUGCCGGUGGAUACUGUCGGGCUUGAGUACGGAAGAGGCGAGUGGAAUUCCUGGUGUAGCGGUGAAAUGCGCAGAUAUCAGGAGGAACACCAAUUGCGAAGGCAGCUCGCUGGACGUUACUGACGCUGGAGACGCGAAAGCGUGGGAGCAAACAGG